rnacentral:rRNA from 1 species
GUAGUUUGACUCUGGCUACAGAUCACGCUGGCGGCGUGCCUCAGACAUGCAAGUCGAACGCGAAAGUCCCCUUCGGGGGACAAGUAGAGUGGCGCACGGGUGAGUAACACGUAGGUAAUCUACCUUCGGAUGGGGAAUAACAAUCGGAAACGGUUGCUAAUACCGCAUAAUGCAGCGGCACCUAAUGGUGACAGUUGUUAAAGCGGGGGAUCGAAAGACCUCGCGUCUGAAGAGGAGCCUGCGGCGGAUUAGCUAGUUGGUAAGGUAAUGGCUUACCAAGGCUACGAUCCGUAACCGGCCUGAGAGGGCGGUCGGUCACACUGACACUGACAUACGGGUCAGACUCCUACGGGAGGCAGCAGUCGGGAAUUUUGGGCAAUGGGCGAAAGCCUGACCCAGCAACGCCGCGUGAAGGAUGAAAUCCCUCGGGAUGUAAACUUCGCAAGAACGGGAAGAAUAAGCGAGAGUUAAUAUCUUUCGUGAUGACGGUACCGUUUGUAAGCUCCGGCUAACUCCGUG